rnacentral:rRNA from 1 species
CCCUUAGAUGUUCUGGGCCGCACGCGUGCUACACUGAACGGUUCAAUGGGUAAGGUAGUGCGAAAGCAUGACCUAAUCUCGAAAUCCGUUCGUGCUGGGGAUAGAAGCUUGCAAUUAUCCUUCUUGAACGAGGAAUACCUUGUAAGCGUGAGUCAUCAUCUCACGCUGAAUACGUCCCUGCCCUUUGUACACACCGCCCGUCGCACCUACCGAUUGAAUGUUUCGGUGAAGAUUCCGGAUAGGACUUUUUUGAUUUAUUUCAAUUUUGUCUUAAAAGCUAUCUAAACCUCAACAUUUAGAGGAAGGUGAAGUCGUAACA